UGUGGGGCGCGCCGGGCAGCUGCUCCGUGCACAGAGGCACGCUUUGGGUCUAGCCCUUGCAAGAUCUGUUUCAAAGGAGGGUGGUGCCUUUGGGGAUCUUUAUUUUUUAAUUUUCCCAUUAAAAGUAUAGUCGAUUCACAAGGUCGUGCCACGGCUGAUCUUUAAAACCUGGAAGGCGAGCCUGCAGAUUCGACGUGGGGGGGAUCCCCCUCCCGACCUCCCAGCACGUGGUUCAAGGAAGGGCACGGAGCGACCUGUGACCGUGCGUGGGAAUCUGAGCCCGCGGUCAGGGCCAACCUCCCUGCAUCAGACCUGCUGCCUGGAACGUGGCCUUCCCCGCCGUCCACUCCCCGGGCACCCUCCCCCGGGGCUCCAUCUGGAAGCUGGCCGUCUCUUCUCAGGGCCCUUGCGCCCAGGACCUCCGCCCGGAGAGCCUGCUCCGCCGGCAGGGUCGCCCAGAGGCCUGGCGCUUGGGUUUGCAUUUUCCCAGCCUGUACCCCACGGGCGCCUGGGGAGCUGCAGCAGCCCUCAGCCCUACCUGCAGCACGUAGCCCUCCCGGGCGCUCUGCUCCCGGCCCAGAGCCACCCUCAGCUGGUCCUGCAGCAGCCGGUUCUGCUCCAGAAGGUCCGAGGCCUCCUUCUGGCUCUGCUCCAACUGUUGGCAGAAAGACACAUUUUAAAGCCGAGUGACAGUAACAGAAGCAGCGGCACAGCACCAGCCCGCGGGACAUAUCUGACUGCAGCUGGGCUGGGCUCGCCGGACUCGCUGCGGGCCUUCCAGGGGCUGGCCCUGCAGUGAUUUCCACGCCUGCUUGAGGACCAGCAGGCGCAGGCCCCACCAGGAGAUGAGGGCUUGGUGCUCAUGGCAGAAGGAAGCCUUCCGCCCGCCGGGUGCCCUGGGUGGCCUCCGCGCAGUCCAACAGGCCCCUGGGCAGGCCUGACUCCAGGCUCUACCUCAGCUUCGACACAGCCACCCCGUCUAGCAGGCUCACGGGAAACGCUUCCUAGGAAACCGUGUUGGUGAGACGGGUCCUCAGAAGCGAGCUGCUCCUCCCUCCUGCUCUGAGUGGUUUUGAGCCCGGGUAUCCCCUGCCUGCCCCCUUCCUGGACGUUCCCCGCGUGUGCCCUGGAGGUGAAGGAGCUGGGUGUGCCGCGGGCUGGGCCACAGGCACGCACGGGGCCUUGGUGUUCAGGCCCUGGCCUGCCAGGUCCACUGCGGCCUGCUGACCGGCAGGCUCCUUUUGGCUCCUGAGAGCAACCCGGGUCGGAACUGUCACUCUACUGCACUCUGCCUCUGUGACUGCACGAGCAGGUGCAGAAAAUGAAGACAAAAUCUCCGUGCUGAUGCUAGUGAUUAAUGUCAGCCACCUGAAUUUCACAAAGUGUGAAGGUGGGAAGUGGAGACAGGCCAAGGCAGCCAGGCUGUGACUUCCUCGGCUGCUCUCUUGCUAAGAGCAACUCUGAAGCGUGUUCUUUUCACCCCAGAAGGGGGCCAUAAUGCUGCACCUCCUUGGCCACGAACCUCUGUUCGGACUUACAAAGCCAGGGUCCAAAUCCCGCAGACAGGCUUUCUGGGUACAUCUUCACGGCGGAAACGGAGGUCUCAAAGGCGGGGACCAGCCUCCUCACCCCUCUCUGGGGAGGCUCGCUGCCCCAGCCCCAGCCGCCUGCCCUGCACCCUCGUCAGGUCCCCGAGGUUCCCAGGGCUGCCUGGCGCCCAGGGAAACCCAGCUCUGUUCAGCCCCUCUUCCACCCAGACCGCCAGUUCAUGCCUGAAACGGGGCCCUGCAAGCCCACCAGCCUCAGCUCUGGCACCCCUGGCUCUGCAUGGUCGACUCUGGUCCUUGGCAAGGCCCGGUGCUCCUCCCUGCCCCCCACACAUCCCUGGCCUGCGCUGCCUUCUGAGGACCUGUCUGUCCACCUGUCUGUCUCCCCGUGGGGGCCUCGGCAAGCCUCUGGUGG
rnacentral:lncRNA from 1 species